rnacentral:rRNA from 1 species
CCUACGGGAGGCAGCAGUGGGGAAUAUUGGACAAUGGGCGAAAGCCUGAUCCAGCAAUGCCGCGUGAGUGAUGAAGGCCUUAGGGUUGUAAAGCUCUUUUACCAGGGAUGAUAAUGACAGUACCUGGAGAAUAAGCUCCGGCUAACUCCGUGCCAGCAGCCGCGGUAAUACGGAGGGAGCUAGCGUUGUUCGGAAUUACUGGGCGUAAAGCGUGCGUAGGCGGUGAUUCAAGUCAGAGGUGAAAGCCUGGAGCUCAACUCCAGAACGGCCUUUGAAACUAGAUCGCUAGAAUUAUGGAGAGGUAAGUGGAAUUCCGAGUGUAGAGGUGAAAUUCGUAGAUAUUCGGAAGAACACCAGUGGCGAAGGCGACUUACUGGACAUAUAUUGACGCUGAGGUACGAAAGCGUGGGGAGCAAACAGGAUUAGAUACCCUGGUAGUCCACGCCGUAAACGAUGAUAACUAGCUGUUCGGGCUCUCAGAGCUUGAGUGGCGCAGCUAACGCAUUAAGUUAUCCGCCUGGGGAGUACGGUCGCAAGNUUAAAACUUAAUGAAUUGACCGG